UUACAAGCAUGCUGGCACCCAACACACAAUAAUAACAAUAAUGAUAAAGUAUUUGAUUACGUUUUCCUUGAUUUUGAUCUGCGUCCAUCAUAAUACUGGUGGUUUAGCUGUAUAUAAACGAAGUAUGAAUCCCGACUGCAGCAUAGAAAUCCAAAAGGACUGCAAAGAUAGAGGAUAUGAUGUUAUUAACGAUGAAAAAAAUUCAUGUGUGUGUGUCAUUACAAAAGAUGAUGAAAGGAGAUGAACAUUAAUCAGGAUAAGGAAAGACCAUGAAGAAGAAACGAUAGUUUUGUAUGACUGUUCUGAUUGUGUGAAUAUAUAUGCCUCUGUAUCGUUGCUCAAUAUCUCUUUCAUGUA